rnacentral:rRNA from 1 species
UACGUAGGAUGCAAGCGUUGUCCGGAAUUAUUGGGCGUAAAGAGCGCGCAGGCGGUCUAUCAAGUCAGAUGUGAAAUAUCUCGGCUUAACCGGGUGGGGUCAUUUGAAACUGGUAGACUAGAGUACAGCAGAGGAUAGCGGAAUUCCCGGUGUAGUGGUGAAAUGCGUAGAUAUCGGGAGGAACACCAGUGGCGAAGGCGGCUAUCUGGGACGGUACUGACGCUGAGACGCGAAAAGCGUGGGGAGCGAACAGG